CACACAAAAGACCUUGCUGAAACCUAAAACCCCGAAAAGAAAUGCAAAACCCUUGAAACAAAAACGCAGCCACAAACCAAAACCAAAACCAAAACCCCAGAGGCAGAGCCAUGUCAUUCGCCGCCGCCAGAGCCGCCAAGUCCGUCCUUCGAUCCACAGCGGCUCGAACCACAGUGGCAUCGAGGCUCGCUGCAGGUCCCGGAGCCAGACCCGCAAGCUCACCAUUUCGCAUCCCCAAACAAAACUCCCUCUCCAACCGCAUUUUCAGGUCGCCUGUGGAGCUGAGUUGCUGUGUGGAAUCGAUGCUUCCCUAUCACACAGCCACUGCUUCUGCAUUGCUUAAUUCAAUGCUCUCUGUCUCUCGCCGCAGCUAUGGUUGGACUCCUGAAGGGCAAGAGAAGACUAGAUGAAGAUCAAGCAUCACAUAUGGAUUGACUUGGAUUUGUUUUUGUUGUCUACUUUGAAAGUAUUGGUGAAUGUUCUCUUCAGUAGAUUUGAUUGCAAUGAUGAUGUAUGAUGAAUGUCAGAGGGUUCGAGCGGAGUUUUAUGUACAUGCACUCUAAGGCAAGGUGGUGAAAUAAAGCUUUUUUAGUAGGAUUUCUAGAUGCUUCUUGCCUGUUUACAAAGGCAGCCAAAGUGGUGAAGGAAAAUUUUAAUUGUUCCAAGUAGGAAUUAACUGAAGUUAUAGAUGGGUAUUUAUUGAAUGUUGUUUCAACAUUUAAAUAUAAAGAAGUUAAAUCUGUAGUUGGGUAUGAUGAAUUGGUGAUGAUGAUAACAAUGUUCCCUCAUCAA